AACCUGCCCUUUAACUCUGGGAUAAGCCUUGGAAACAGGGUCUAAUACUGGAUAUUGACUUUAUCUCGCAUGGGGUUUAGUUGAAAGAUUUAUCGGUUUUGGAUGGACUCGCGGCCUAUCAGCUUGUUGGUGAGGUAAUGGCUCACCAAGGCGACGACGGGUAGCCGGCCUGAGAGGGUGACCGGCCACACUGGGACUGAGACACGGCCCAGACUCCUACGGGAGGCAGCAGUGGGGAAUAUUGCACAAUGGGCGAAAGCCUGAUGCAGCGACGCCGCGUGAGGGAUGACGGCCUUCGGGUUGUAAACCUCUUUCAGUAGGGAACAAGGCCACAUUUUGUGUGGUUGAGGGUACUUGCAGAAGAAGCGCCGGCUAACUACGUGCCAGCAGCCGCGGUAAUACGUAGGGCGCAAGCGUUAUCCGGAAUUAUUGGGCGUAAAGAGCUCGUAGGCGGUUUGUCGCGUCUGCCGUGAAAGUCCGGGGCUCAACCCCGGAUCUGCGGUGGGUACGGGCAGACUAGAGUGAUGUAGGGGAGACUGGAAUUCCUGGUGUAGCGGUGAAAUGCGCAGAUAUCAGGAGGAACACCGAUGGCGAAGGCAGGUCUCUGGGCAUUAACUGACGCUGAGGAGCGAAAGCAUGGGGAGCGAACAGGAUUAGAUACCCUGGUAGUCCAUGCCGUAAACGUUGGGCACUAGGUGUGGGGGACAUUCCACGUUUUCCGCGCCGUAGCUAACGCAUUAAGUGCCCCGCCUGGGGAG
rnacentral:rRNA from 1 species